rnacentral:rRNA from 1 species
UACGUAGGGGGCUAGCGUUGUCCGGAAUCAUUGGGCGUAAAGAGCGCGUAGGCGGCCAGAUAAGUCCGGUGUGAAAGUCACAGGCUCAACCUGUGAAUGCCGCUGGAAACUGUCUGGCUAGAGUCCGGAAGGGGCGAGUGGAAUUCCUGGUGUAGCGGUGGAAUGCGCAGAUAUCAGGAGGAACACCAAUGGCGAAGGCAGCACUCUGGUACGUGAUUGACGCUGAGACGCGAAAGCGUGGGGAGCGAACAGG